rnacentral:rRNA from 1 species
GAGUGGCGUACGGGUGAGUAACACGUGGGUAACCUGCCCUAGAGUUCGGGAUACCCCCUCGAAAGGGGGGCUAAUACCGGAUACGUUCUGCGGAUCGCAAGGUCUGCAGAGGAAAGGCGGCGCAAGCUGCCGCUCUUGGAGGGGCUCGCGGCCUAUCAGCUAGUUGGUGAGGUAACGGCUCACCAAGGCGAUGACGGGUAGCUGGUCUGAGAGGACGACCAGCCACACGGGGACUGAGACACGGCCCCGACUCCUACGGGAGGCAGCAGUGGGGAAUCUUCCGCAAUGGGCGCAAGCCUGACGGAGUGACGCCGCGUGGGGGACGAAGGCCUUCGGGUCGUAAACCCCUGUCAGUGGGAAAGAAGGGUGUCGACGCGACAACCGCCGGCACUUGACGGUACCUGCAGAGGAAGCCCCGGCCAACUCUGUGCCAGCAGCCGCGGUAAGACAGAGGGGGCAAGCGUUGCUCGGAAUCACUGGGCGUAAAGGGCGCGUAGGCGGGAUGGCAAGUCAGUCGUGAAAUCCUUCGGCUCAACCGAAGCACGUCGGCUGAUACUGCCGUUCUUGAGGGAUGCAGAGGAGACUGGAAUUCCCGGUGUAGCGGUGAAAUGUGUAGAGAUCGGGAGGAACACCGGUGGCGAAGGCGGGUCUCUGGGCAUUUCC